GCCUUGGAGUCUCAGAGAGUUUGAUUCUGGCUCAGGAUGAACGCUGGCGGCGUGCUUAACACAUGCAAGUCGAACGAGGAAUAAUUGAUGAAGUUUCGGAUGGAUUAGUAUUCCGAGUGGCGGACGGGUAAGUAACGCGUGGGUAACCUGCCCCAUACAGGGGGACAACAGAGGGAAACUUCUGCUAAUACCGCAUAAGCGGAUCGGAUGGCAUCGUCCGGUCCGGAAAGCUCCGGCGGUAUGGGAUGGGCCCGCGUUGGAUUAGGCAGUUGGCGGGGUAACGGCCCACCAAACCGACGAUCCAUAGCCGACCUGAGAGGGUGACCGGCCACAUUGGGACUGAGACACGGCCCAGACUCCUACGGGAGGCAGCAGUGGGGAAUAUUGCACAAUGGGCGAAAGCCUGAUGCAGCCGACGCCGCGUGAGUGAAGAAGUAUUUCGGUAUGUAAAGCUCUAUCAGCAGGGAAGAAAAUGACGGUACCUGCACAAGAAGCUCCGGCUAAAUACGUGCCAGCAGCCGC
rnacentral:rRNA from 1 species